rnacentral:rRNA from 1 species
GAUGAACGCUGGCGGCGUGCCUAAUACAUGCAAGUCGAGCGAACCACUUCGGUGGUGAGCGGCGAACGGGUGAGUAACACGUAGGUUAUCUGCCCAUCAGACGGGGACAACGAUUGGAAACGAUCGCUAAUACCGGAUAGGACGAAAGUUUAAAGGUGCUUCGGCACCACUGAUGGAUGAGCCUGCGGCGCAUUAGCUAGUUGGUAGGGUAAAGGCCUACCAAGGCGACGAUGCGUAGCCGACCUGAGAGGGUGAACGGCCACACUGGGACUGAGACACGGCCCAGACUCCUACGGGAGGCAGCAGUAGGGAAUCUUCGGCAAUGGGCGAAAGCCUGACCGAGUAACGCCGCGUGAAUGAUGAAGGCCUUGGUGUAAAUACUGUUAUAAGGAAGAAUAGGCUCUAGUAGGAAAUAGGCUAGAGUAGUGACGGUACC